UACGUAGGGAGCAAGCGUUGUCCGGAAUCAUUGGGCGUAAAGCGCGCGUAGGCGGCCCGAUAAGUCCGCUGUAAAAGUCAACGGCUCAACUGUUGAAAGCCGGUGGAUACUGUCGGGCUAGAGUACGGAAGAGGCAAGUGGAAUUCCUGGUGUAGCGGUGGAAUGCGCAGAUAUCAGGAGGAACACCCAUAGCGAAGGCAGCUUGCUGGGACGUUACUGACGCUAAGGCGCGAAAGCUAGGGGAGCAAACGGGG
rnacentral:rRNA from 1 species